rnacentral:tmRNA from 1 species
GGGGGCGACUAGUUUUGACAGAUACCUCUGAGGUUUAAACGCAAGUAGCGGUUGGCCAGGCCGCUUUAAAUAGGGCUAAAACGAAUAGUUGGCAAUACCAACAAUACAGUUUGGGCAGCAGCCUAAACCCGUUAGUUUAAUAUUUACGGCGUGUUAAACUUACGGUCAAUCAGCCGUAUGCUAUAAGAAAGGUUACUGUUUAGCCUCCUCUUAUCUAAGAUAAAUUAAACAAGUAAAAGCGCAGCGGUUUCGGGCAAGCACUUUUACUACAAAACCGAAACUAAACUUGUAGUGUUUAAAUUGUACGAGUAUUUGGACGCGGGUGCGAAUCCUGCCGCCUCCACU